rnacentral:rRNA from 1 species
UACGUAGGGUGCAAGCGUUGUCCGGAAUUAUUGGGCGUAAAGAGCUCGUAGGCGGUCUGUCGCGUCGGAUGUGAAAAUCAGGGCUCAACCCUGGACCUGCAUUCGAUACGGGCAGACUAGAGUUCGGCAGGGGAGACUGGAAUUCCUGGUGUAGCGGUGAAAUGCGCAGAUAUCAGGAGGAACACCGGUGGCGAAGGCGGGUCUCUGGGCCGUAACUGACGCUGAGGAGCGAAAGGCGUGGGGAGCGAACAGG